rnacentral:rRNA from 1 species
CGGGACGGGUGAGUAAUGUCUGGGAAACGUGCCUGAUGGAGGGGGGUAACUACUGGAAACGGGGGCUAAUACCGCAUAACGUCGCAAGACCAAAAGAAGGGGGGAACCUCGGGGCCUCUUGCCAUCGGAUGUGCCCAGAUGGGAUUAGCUAGUAGGUGGGGUAACGGCUCACCUAGGCGACGAUCCCUAGCUGGUCUGAGAGGAUGACCAGCCACACUGGAACUGAGACACGGUCCAG